UGGGGAAUAUUGCGCAAUGGGCGAAAGCCUGACGCAGCGACGCCGCGUGAGGGAUGAAGGUUUUCGGAUCGUAAACCUCUGUCAGAAGGGAAGAAACCGCACUGUGCUAAUCAGCAGUGCCUUGACUGUACCUUCAAAGGAAGCACCGGCUAACUCCGUGCCAGCAGCCGCGGUAAUACGGAGGGUGCAAGCGUUAAUCGGAAUUACUGGGCGUAAAGCGCACGUAGGCUGCUUUGUAAGUCAGGGGUGUAAUCCCACGGCUCAACCGUGGAACUGCCUUUGAUACUGCUUAGCUUGAAUCCGGGAGAGGGUGGCGGAAUUCCAGGUGUAGGAGUGAAAUCCGUAGAUAUCUGGAGGAACAUCAGUGGCGAAGGCGGCCACCUGGACCGGUAUUGACGCUGAGGUGCGAAAGCGUGGGGAGCAAACAGG
rnacentral:rRNA from 1 species